rnacentral:miRNA from 3 species
GUCCCUCUCCAAAUGUGUCUUG